rnacentral:rRNA from 1 species
AGAGUUUGAUCCUGGCUCAGAACGAACGUUGGCGGCGUGGAUUAGGCAUGCAAGUCGAACGAAGACGGGGUAGCAAUAUCCCGGACUGAGUGGCGAAAGGGGCAGUAAAGCGUGGGCAACCUACCUCUGGGACGGGGAUAGCCUUCCUAACGGGAGGGUAAUACCCGGCGACGUAACGAAGGGGCAUCUCUUUGUUACCAAAUGAAUUUCGCCCGGAGAGGGGCUCACGUGCUAUUAGCUUGUUGGCGGGGUAACGGCCCACCAAGGCAAAGAUGGCUAGCAGGUGUGAGAGCACGACCUGCGCCACUGGCACUGAGACACUGGCCAGACUUCUACGGGAGGCUGCAGUCGAGGAUCUUUGGCAAUGGGCGCAAGCCUGACCAAGCGACGCCGCGUGCGCGAUGAAGGCCUUCGGGUUGUAAAGCGCUGUCGAGGGGGAGGAAGCCGCAAGGUUGACCUAUCCCUGGAGGAAGGACGGGCUAAGUUCGUGCCAGCAGCCGCGGUAAUUC